rnacentral:lncRNA from 1 species
AAAAAUUGAAAAUGCACAUAACCAUAUAAGAACAUAAAAAGAAUGAAAUACCAAAAAUGCAAUCACAAUAACAACACCAAAGGGUCUUUCAAGAAUAAACUUUCACUUACCCAGAAAAAUAUAUAGUUGAGAGUUCAGCCAAAAUUUAGAUGACACAAACUGUAUGAAUUCCUGUAAAUAUUCAAAUGGGUCAAAGAAAUUUGAGAUGAAAUAUGAGAAUACAAAUGUAAAAACAUUAAAAUAAUAAUUAUUGCUAGCUGCAUGCUAAAAAUUUUGCCUUCUAGAAUCAUUAUAAAGAACCCCAAAUAUAAAACUUUCCCUUAAUACUUGCUGUAUUUGGAAAUCCUAAGAAAACCCAACAUGCUUUCGUAUAACCCAAAAGAAAAAUGAAAGUAUUUAGAGAUUUUAACACAUACAUGAUUUGAGCUUUUGGGUCAGUAACUGGAAGCAGAGAAACGGAGCAGCCAACAUAGUUCUUCCUUUGUAGUUGAGAAAUGGAGCAUGUAUAUGAGAUUCACAUUUUAUGAUUUUAGGGAUUUUGAGCAGAGUAGGGGAAAGCAGUGAGUUUUAGAAGAAAGAGGGUUUCUAGUAAGAGGAACAAUAAAAUUGAGAAAUCGAGGGGAAAGCAAGAAUUUUGUUCUUUUAAGGUCUUCUGUUGUUUCAAUUG